UACGAAGGGUGCAAGCGUUACUCGGAAUUACUGGGCGUAAAGCGUGCGUAGGUGGUUCGUUAAGUCUGCUGUGAAAGCCCCGGGCUCAACCUGGGAAUGCCAUUCGAGACUGCAUAGCUAGGGUGCGGAAGAGGGAAGCGGAAUUUCCGGUGUAGCGGUGAAAUGCGUAGAUAUCGGAAGGAACACCAGUGGCGAAAGCGGCUUCCUGGUCCAGCACCGACGUUCAGGCACGAAAGCGUGGGGAGCAAACAGG
rnacentral:rRNA from 1 species